rnacentral:rRNA from 1 species
GACGAACGCUGGCGGCGUGCCUAAUACAUGCAAGUCGACCUUAGUGGCGGACGGGUGAGUAACACGUGGGAACCUACCCAUCAGAGGGGGAUAACACUUGGAAACAGGUGCUAAUACCGCAUACUAGUAGAUUGACCUCCGUUGUAUUAGCUAGUAGUUAGGGGAAUGGCCUACCUAGGCAACGAUACAUAGCCGACCUGAGAGGGUGAUCGGCCACACUGGGACUGAGACACGGUCCAGACUCCUACGGGAGGCAGCAGUGGGGAAUAUUGGACAAUGGGCGAAAGCCUGAUCCAGCCAUGCCGCGUGUGUGAAGAAGGUCUUCGGAUUGUAAAGCACUUUAAGUUGGGAGGCGUUACCUACAGAAUAAGCACCGGCUAACUUCGUGCCAGCAGCCGCGGUAAUUC